CAACAACAAAAUCCACCAAGAUAUUUGAAAUUGAAAAACAAAAUUUCGUCCGCUCGCACUCUCUCCCGCUCCAUCCUCUCUCUAGCAGCUCCGUCCACUAACACUAUUCGGCACCACCAUCUCAGCCUUCAUUGCUGCUAUACACAUGCCUAAGACACCCUUCUCACGCCUCUAGCUUGCCCGUCAUUCGAAUUUUUUACUUGGGUAAAUCCAAAAGUCCCUUAAUAUGGUCCAAGCAUGAUAGAUAGGGAACUAAAUGAGUAGGUGGUGGCUGAAGCUGCUCAAAGUCCUUUAAUGGAUGAACACCAUAUAUCCAAGCAUAGGACGAUGAGGGAACCAAAAGUUGUUCAGCACCGAGUUGAACUUGAAAACAAAACAAGUAGGAGCAAAAUAUUGAUCCAUAGAAUGCAUGGGAUCACACUUUGAGUGCCAUGGAUUUUUUUCAUCUUGUACUUAUGACCCAUCAAUUAAUUUAAAUUAAACCUAAAAGCAAUUAAUGGAGCUUCCACUAAAGCUUAUCAUGUUGUAAAUAAGCCAAUGAUAUUUUCCUCUCUCACUUAAUAUGAAUAUUUGCUGGUUAAUUGCAGGUGAA